rnacentral:rRNA from 1 species
UACGUAGGGGGCGAGCGUUGUCCGAAGUUACUGGGCGUAAAGAGCGCGUAGGCGGGUUUUUAAGUGAGGGGUGAAAGUUCGAGGCUCAACCUCGGAACUGCCUUUCAUACUGGGAACCUUGAGUGCGGGAGAGGCGAGUGGAAUGGUCGGUGUAGCGGUGAAAUGCGUAGAUAUCGAUCGGAACACCCAUGGCGAAGGCAGCUCGCUGGCCUGUAACUGACGCUGAGGCGCGAAAGCGUGGGGAGCAAACAGG